UGCCGCGCGGAGACGUGUCGGUGGCUGCACGGCGCGCCUGUGGCUGCCCCGGGCCGGGGCUGCUCUUCGGGCGCCGCUCGGCCCGCGUUUCCCUCGGCUCUUGGUUCCGAAGUGGGGAUGGUGGCCGGGGCUGACCUGCGUGGUAAAUGGUAAAAUGGGGGAAGCGGUGUAUGGUGGCACUGUGGCAGGGAACGGCCUUUCUCCAGCCUGGUUUGCAUCUACGCGCCGGCAUCCGGGUGUUUUGCCUUCGCUGCUGGUGGAUGAGUUUCUCAAAAUUGGAUUUCCAUGUAAACCUUCAGCAGAAGCUUGGAGGUGCAGAUCGAAGGGGCCUUGCCGCCACCCUCAGGGAUUCCUUCCCUGUGAAAUGUCUUGGUACUGCCAUAUUCCUUCUGCUUUCCGAUAUGUCUGGAAAGUCCCUGGCAAGGUGGGAUCUCUCCAUCCCUUUUGGGCCUGUGUUUUAUGCCACGUGUGUCCAAGUACAGGUGUCCAGGAAGUACCAUCCAUUUGCUCGUCCUGCAUUCUGCUGAUAAUUCAUGGUUACAGACCAGCUAAAAGUGUCUCAUUUGCAGUUAGCUGAUGGAUUUUCUGCGGAGGUCCACAGGGAUGUGUGACUGGAAGGCAGGAGGAGCUGGCGAAGGGCACCAGAGCUGUGUGGAAUAGAGGGCAGGUGAACACUGCUGCUCGCAGGAAGGGUCCUGCUGCCAGAUUAUGAGCAGUGGCGCAUGAAUGAGGAGCUCUCAGGUUCUGGAGUGAUCGUGUAGACAGGAAUUUUCCUUGCUAGAUCUUUGUUCUGUUUCCCUGCAGUGUCUUCCUGAGUUGAACUGGAAGCUUUGGAUGUCUGCAGCCUACAGAAACGAGCUCUGAAGGUUGGCAGUGAAAAUGGCUGAGAGCUGUAGGAAAUGCUUAAGGGAAUCUAAUGCUUUUGGAAUCUAGAGUGGUGCCAGGCAAGGGGCUUAGAUCUGGUUCUAAGUCCUUGGUUUAAAAAAAAUAAGAUUCUCUGCAGGCUUAAGUUGGACUGGGGAAUUCACAAUAGACAAAUGACCCUAAGAGUGGGGUACAGAAGACUGUUUUAAGGAAGUUGUAAUGAUUUUAAAACAUAAAUGAUAAAAAGUCAGCUAUUUAAUAUUUCUUCCUAAACAUCAGUGCUGUUUAGAUUAGAUUUUUGGAAGCAGGAGUCAGGCUAGCUAUCAACCUGUCAAAAACAUGAAAAAUACAUGUUGCCAAAACUAUUACAGUUUUAAGGAUCUUUUUCUUUUUAAUCCUUACAUUAGAUACUUUGCUUCCUAAAGCAAAUGAUGAAUAUAAGCAAUUUGAUGUAGAUUCCUCAUUUUUAAUAUACUAAUAUUAACACAAUAAAACAGAAACAAAUUCUAGAAGAUUAUUCUGUUACUUAAAAAGAGAAGCAUGUAUCGAGAACCUAUAUGAGCUGUCUGCAAUUUAUAUAGAGAUAGAGAGAAUGGAGGUUACUAAAAAUAAUGUAAGAAAUAAAUUUGAAGUGACCCUUUGGAAUUUUCUUUAUGACCUAAGUGUAAAUCUAGGAAGAUGCUAUGCAGAUUUCUCUGUUGGGCAGAAAUGAAGUCAUGUGCAUGUGAUAACCUUGAAAUUUCUCUGAAGUUCCUCUUUUUAAAUGUUUAAGUAUUGGUGUAUUCUUGAAAGGCUGCAUAUUAUGUAAACAGUUGUAUGACCUAGUAUCACACGUCUUGUAGUUGAAGGCUUUUCACAAACUGGCACCAGCUCUAUGUAGAAUCUUUUAUACAGCGGGUAUAGUUGGGGGAAAAAGAAGGAAAGAGGAGAAAGCUUCUGUCCCUCACAUUGCUUUUUGUCCAAGUUAAGAGCAAGUGCAGUGCAGAGCACGAGUGUGCAGUUCUGUCAGUUUUGUUUUCCACCAAAGGAUAAGCUAAACUCUUGUGUUAUAAGGUAUGUGUACUCUGUAACUAAUACGUAGCUAGAUGUGACAGUUAAAAGAUUUCAGUCAGAGCUAAGGUUUGCUUGUUUAAUUAAAAUUUUAUCUUGAGCAAGCUAUUCGCAUAGCUGAACCCUUCACUGUGUGGACCAAGUUCUGCAUCUUUUUGCAGACUUCAGAUAAAAAGUGAAGUUAGUAAUUACUGUGGAGUAACGUUUAAGGAUUCUUAAUUCCCAGGAUUUUGUAUGUGGAGUACAAGAAAGAAAACGUCCCAGAACACAUUGGUAGAAAGCUGAGUAUUCCGGAAGAGGUUUACAGUACAGUUCAGCUUUUACACACACAUGUAGCCAGCAGUAUGAGAAGUUUGGCCAUUCUUCAGCAUCGGUGUUGUCCUUAGCCACUAAACACAGAUGAAGCUCUGCAGUAGGCCGUUCUGUUCCUGGUAAGAUUUGCCUCUCUCUUUGACUGUAGUUUCUGACAUCAACACAAAGCACAACUUGCUGACGUACUGUAGUCCACAGCAGGAGUGUUUUGCCACUGUACCGGUGUUACACUGUCAGAGGGCUCUUAGGAUAGCUAUUAAUUUAGAUGCUUUUAUCAGAUAUACACUGUUUUGAAAUGAAUCUUAGGCAAAUCAUGAUCAGCUAAGUUGUUGAGAGGAGUAGGUGCAAAUUCUGUAAUCACAGUCUGAUUAGGCAAUGGCCUGUCUCCACAGAAGAGAAGCAGCGGGAUACAUACUUCUGCACCAUCUGAAAUUCUAAAUGGCGAAAAUAAAGUGUGUGGUUCUGAUACCAGCUCCAAUUAAGGGAGUUAUGAACACUUAACUGCCUAUUAGUCUGAAUGCACGCAUCUAGUUUUCUGAAUGUGCAAACAUAAAGACUUCAGAUAAUCUGACCUGUGGUACUCUUAAUCUUAAUGAACAGCCCUGAAAUCUGCUUGCAGGUAUGAUUGCAGCUGGUAGUGUCUGGUUUGUUGCCUUUGCUUAUUUGACCUUCACCCUUCUAAUUUCAGCGUGCAGCUAAGAUCUGACUUGGACUCCACUGCUUUUACAGCUGUAGCCAGGUUCACAUGAUCCCUUGGGUUUUAAUGGAUGGCUCUGUCUAAUAAUAAGACCUGGUCCUCAAAUUUUACUGAGUCCCUACCUGGGGAAAUUUCUAUUGGAAUUUACUGACCUUUAAUCUCUCCUCCACUUUUUUUUUUCUUUCUUUUUUUUUUCUUUUUUUCUGGAAGGUAUUUAAUGCAAUGUUUUGAGUGUUUUUUAAUACGCUUGUAAUGGUAAUCUAAAAUAUAAUUUGUAGGCAGACUUAAACCAAGGAUGCUACAUAGUCUUGAGGCAUAUUUGUUCCACUUCUUUCUCUGUGUUGUGUAAAGGAAUGUAACAGGAAAAAAAAAUGUAUUUUUUUCAGGUAGGGGGAAUAAUGCAGCAAGAAAUUCUCAGAACAAAACAGCCCAGCUUUCAAGUGUAACAGAAGAGUAUGGAGUGAUUAAGCACAGGGAAUUCCUUAACUCAUGUUAAAUUAAGCAAUGUGCCCUGGUUUCCAGGAACAGCUUAAUGGUUGUUCUCAGGUCUUUGUUAGUACAGUAAGCACAGAUAGUGUUAAUGAUCGAGAACUAGGCAGUCCUAUCAAGACACUGCAGUGUAUCCUCAACUGCAGAAUAAGUCAUAUCUGUCAGUCAGCUUAGCAAACAAGUAAGAAAUUCUAUCUGGUGGGUUAGCAAAGCACUUGUCUUCCUAAUAAUAGCUGUGCUCUUGAAAGGUCCUGCUUUGCAGAACCUCUCUGCAAAGGUGGAGGGUGGACCUUCACUGCUGAAUUUUUUAAGUAACAAACAAAUAGGUCAGAAGGAAAAAAAGCAUCGUUACUUGUUUUCAGCUCUAGCAUUUAGCCAGUUUUCAAUAUCUAGCAGAUUGCUUUGUAGUUAUGAACCUUUUUUUGUGGUUUUUUUUUUGUUUUUUAAAAUGAAAAGUAAUUUAUUUUUUCAAUAAUACACUUUUCUUUUUCUCCUGUGAUAGACAAGUUCCUCUGAACUCAAGUGAAUUCAAACCCUGAAAGAUCUUUUUUUUUUUGUCCUCAGCUUUGCACAGAAGGUUUUUCUUUCAGCUUUUUGACUUUGAUAUUAGACCAUGUUUCUGAUUUCCUUUACCUUUUGUCUGUUGGUUUAUUCUUUCACAUAUGGAGUUGCACACAGCUCCUCCAGUUAUAAUUAUAACCUGUAAGUUUGCUGAAUUGGGUCUUCAGAGAAAUGCUUGAUGUUUGUAAUUACAUUUUGCAGCAUAACAUAUCUUGCUUAAAAGUAUCUAAUUGUUUUAAUUACCUGUUUUUAUAUAAUGAUGUUUUAUACAUCUUCUGUAGAUUGAGAAUGGUGGUUACACUCAGCUGAGUUAAAGGUGGGUUUCCUAGCAAUGUGGCUUGCCAUAAUAGAAGUGCUCCAAAAUGUAUCCCAUUCCAGUGGGUGUUUGCAGUGAAAUUACUCUCACUUGAGAAAUCAUAGGAUCACAGGAUGGCUUGAGUUGGAAGGGACCUUGCAGCCCAUCCAGUUCCAACCCCCAACCACGCGCAGGGCUGCCACCCACUAGGUGAGGCUGCCCAGGGCCCCAUCCAACCUGGCCUUGAAGGCCUUCAGGGAUGGGGCAUCCACAGCUUCUCUGGGCAAUUUGUUCCAGUGCCUCACCACCAUCUGAGUAAUUAAUUUCUUCCUAUUGUUUAUCCUGAGUUUCCCCUCUUUUAAUAUAAAACCAUUUCCCCUUGUCCUGCUACUAUCUGCCUGUUUAAAAAGUCGGCGUCCUUCCUGUUAAGUACUGGAAGGCCACAAUGAGGUCUCCCAGAGCCUUUUUCAGACUGAAUGAGCCCAGCUUUCUCAGCCUUUCUUCAAAGGAGAAGUGCUCCAGCCUUCUGACCUUCUUUGUGGCUUCCUUUGGAUCCUCUCCAACAGCUCUAUGUCUUGUGCUGGGGGCCCAAUGCAGCACAGUGGGGUUUUGUCCUGAAAAUGGGGACAAAGCUGGGAGGAGAAGUCUUUCACCUUCAUGUGAUAAAUGCAACAGAUACAGCUUUGGAAGCAAGUUGUUUUGUUCAAAGCAAAAAUCAUAGAACUGUAGAGAAGGAAGACUUAUGUGUGUUAUCUCAUGAAGACAAUUGGCUGGAGAAAGGAAGAGCUUCCUUGGGAAGGAGGAUCCCACAGUUCACUGACAACUCAUUCACAACUGGCGGUAUUCUAUUAGGGAAGGGUUGCAUACCAGGUGGAUGGUGUCCUCCUUUGAAAGUGAUUUCCUAGCCAUAAUCUGUCUAAAUGGAUUUUUGCUCUGUUUUUGUUAAGGGCAGUUUUCUCCUGUAGUGUCUGAAAGAUGUCCUUUGGAAUCAUACGUGCAAAUAGGGCAGUUUUACUUGCCGCUAUACUUUCAUGGUAUGAAGGCAAGUUCAGAAAUAACAUGGAUUGGUAAACCGGUGUAUAAAAGUGUUUACUUGUGAAUUCACUUGUAAUACUGCAUUGACAGAACUAUUGUGGUUGUUUCCUCUGCUUGGAAAUUAGGUAAAAUCAAUCUAUUAGCACCCACAUACUGGUGAUAUCUUAAGAGAAUGUUUAGAAGCCUCCUCAAUCCAUUGCUAGUUUGGGGCAUUCUCUAACUGAAGUUGUAGCAAUCUACUACGAAUCAUUUAUCCACCUCCCUUCUUGCAGUCCUCUAUUGUGAUGACCUGUCACUCCAUAAUUGCAUUCUCAAGGAUAUUUCUAUCUCUACUCCCGUUGUGUCCGAAGUACAUACAUUUACACCUAUUCAUUUCUGACAACCAAGUCUGCUUUUGUCCAGUAAUAUCUUUAAUAGGAGCAUUUAUCUUCUUUUUCUGUCCAAGAGAUAAGUAAGAGCCUUUACUUGCACCACACUCAAAAACUUCCAUUUUCUUCCUGUCACUGUCAAUAAUUUCUCAGGAUUUGCAUAAUUCAUGAAUUGCUAUAGCAAAAAAAUUAAGCAUUUCACCAAUGAAGUCUUUCUGCUGUUUGAGGUGAAACGGUUUUUAUCAGGCUGAUAUAAGGAAAGCCAUGGCUGAACCAACUGUUGUUCAAAAUGUUACGGUUUCUACUGGGCAGAUUCUGAUUGGAUAUAUUUGAUCCUAGAUAACUGAAUUUAUGAACAGUCUCUGUAGCCAGACCAUUCAGCAUAAAGCAUAACAUUCUAUUCUUAUUAAUUAAGUAUAUUUGUGGCAUAUUCAAAAAUAGCUUGUAUUUUUAACUAAGUUUUUAUUGGCUGUCUAAUGCUUGCUGCACAGUAGAAGCAGUUGUGACAAAGAACAUUAAGACAUCAGCCUAUGAGUCCAUUGCAAAUACAGCUUCUCAAUUCUGAAAUGUCCUUCCCCAGUUUUAUUUAUUUAUUUAUUUUCCCAGCCAGGCUAUAAGAAAAUCUGCAGUUAUCACAUCUGUAAACUGGAAAGUUUAGCCCACGGCAGCUACGUACGAGGGAGAAGAUUAUACGAGCAGUCUCCCUCUUCCCCCAAUUAGAUGAGAACUGUUGUACGGUCUGUUUAAAAAUCAGAAUGUGUGGUACUGAGGUUCUGAUUAAAAGGCUUCUACACGAGAAGUAUUGAUUAUAUUUGUGUUGUUGCUGUUCCUAAUUCUUUCACGGAUGCAAUGCCUUCUGCUUGCAGUAAAGAAAAGAAUGAGACAGAACUUUACAAAUGAGUAUAAAUCUAGGAUUUACCAUUAUGAUGAAAGAAAGAGAUGUGAUGAAUGGAUGUAAAAUCUCGGAGCUGUAGUGUAAUGAUGGGGUCAUUUCAUCAUGAUGGGUAGAUAUGACAUGCAGUAUUCAGAGCCUUCAAAAAGGGUUUCAUUUAUCAUACUCGAGGAGGCAUCAAAGUGUUUGGGUAUGACUCAAAGCAAAAGAAUCGUUACAAUUUGCCUUUGAACAAACUCAGGAAAUAUAUUGAUCGUAUAGGUUUAUGCUGCUAGAAAAACAGCUAAUGAUGAUUCAGUCUAUGUAUUUUGUGCAUAGCUUGAGGAAAUGUUCAUUAAAACCUUACACCAUGUAUGCCGCUACACCCUUUGGGAACUUAAACAUAAAAGCUGGAAUUUCAAAACCUUAUUAAGUACAAUUUGAGUUUACAGAAAUAGAAUAAUAUAUUUGAAUUCUGGAAUUGUGUGGCCAUAGGUGAGAGAGGAAACUACACCAGAUGAUGUUUGGAGUAAAAAGAAAGCUCUGAUUUCCAAAUGUGCUGGUGCAUAGUGUUCAAUAACAGCAGUAUUGGUCGAUGAAGAUGGUGACUGAGUUCAUUUGAGCUGAUGUUCAAAUGGAUAUUUAACAAAGUGGGCCACGAAUGGGUUUCUAAGGAGAGGACAGAAUACCAGAAAUGGAGCAGAUGAAGCCAGAAGUAGGCUAGACAAGGCAAGAGCAAGCACAGAAGUGAGAAAGCAUGGCUGUGACAGACAUGAAUGCUUAACAAUACAAAUGUGUUCUCAGUAGCCAGGCUGUGAACCAGAAAUUUGCAAUGACUGGGUAUGGGAAAGUUCAUCAUGGUAGCGGUCACCGGAGAUGAUGAUUCUGAAUGCCAGCAGAGUUCGAACUUACGCUGUUCAUAAAGUGGACUGAUAUGUAUCCACUUACAAUUUUACCAGCAUCUAAAACACUAUUUAUAUCCUGUCUGAAAUUGGCAGGGCAGCUCAUAUGUUCUCCGUGUAAUGUACUGUAACUACACUGUAUCUAGUACGUAAACGUUUGCUUUCUUAAUAUAUUGCUACUGUUCUUUUUAUCUUCCAGACACUGCGUAUUUAUGCCUAAUCUUUUGUAUUUUCAGUUCAGCACAGGCUAAAACUGUCAGCCUCAUUUAUCUGAGACUAUUAAAAAUGCAGACAAAGGCUUUCAGCCAGCAUGUGAACAUUGAAGUUGCUACUUUCUAUGUACCCAAUUUUUGCUUAUGGGAUGUCAUUGAUCUAUAUCUGAUCAAUAUUUUUAAAAUUUCCUUUGAGAUCUGCUCAGCAGCCAUCUGUAUUCCAGUGUGUGGAGGAGAAAGCUGAGUGAGUCAGUUUCUUCAUUCCUCUUCAGAGUCAUUUUGCUCUGACACUGCCUUGAUGCGCUAGGCUUGUAUCCUUGCUUCAAAAACUGUAACAGUAUGUUCUCUCACAGACCUUCAUAGCAAAGAAGAUUUAAACGAUAAAAUAUGUUGACAAGCCUAUAAGAGUUUGAAUAUAGCAAGAACAGAGCAGCAGGGGGAGAAAACAUUAGGUAGUAACUAGCAAUAGGUCCUUAAGCCUCCUAAUCAGCUGCAUAUAACAAGGAAGAAAUGUGACGAAAUAAAUACAUACAAAUGUGCUGACGUAGUCCAUGAAUAAAAUAAAAGAGUUUUACAGUUUCUGGAAUUCAAGCUAACUUGCAGUAAUAUUUAGUCUGCCUUACUAAAUUCCAAUUUUAGGGGGUUGUCUGUUUUCCUUAGUAAAAAGAAUUUCCCCUUAACACACUGCUAGAUAUGAGAAAUGGGAAUGCAGGAGGAUGUAUGAAUGAGAUGAAGAAAUGGGAGGAGCUGAGAUGAGCACACGUGGUAGGGAAUCCGGAGCUGUCUGAGCAUAAGAGAAUUUCAUAGGAGUAAAAAAAAAAAAAAAAACAACAAAGAGAGAUGGAAGGUGAAAAAAAGAGCCCUGAGUGAAUGGCAGAUAUAUCUUAAACAUUGUUAUUUAUGAUCAGUAAGUACACCGUUGCCAAAUUCAAGCUGAACUGAAGAAGCCAAAUUUUGCACACAAUAAAUACUAUGCGAUGUUCUGUUAUUUAUAAAACUAGUUAUACGUACAGUUAAUAUUUACUGAAUACCAAAUUCCUUUCUAGUUUGCUCUGUGUAUUUGGAAGAUACAAAAAAUCUUUUCUGCAUCUGGCUGAAAGAAGUUGUAAGAUCUUUACAAAUCAGAGCAUAUUAUUAACAUUCAAAUUAAAAAAUAUUGUCAUGAAUUUUUUGCCAUUUACAUAGGGAGUUCCAGCUCAGCUGAAGACCUGCAUCAAAAUACUUUGGGACUUUCAUUCCUGCAUGCCUGUUUGAUGUUUUGGUGCUCCUAUGGUUUUGGGGAACGUAGACAACAGGAAUCAAAUCAUUCAAAGAGUUCAUUGUCUGAUCAUCCAUUUGAAGAAAGCUUCAACAUUUUUUACGUGCUGGUUGUAUUAACAGAUUAUUUUUUAUUUUUUUGCCUAUUAAGAUGGGCCCACGUCCAAAUUGCGACAUCCUGAAUUGUGUGUGAGCUAAAUCUGGUUACAGAUACAAAUCUGAAUAUUAUGAGCAGGGUGGAGUUGAGCUAAAGAUCUGACUCCCUCGGCCUUGUGACUUGGAUGUGACAUGAGUUUGGCAUGUCCAAGCUAACCCUAUUUUUUUACCUAGCUCCUGAAUAAAUUGGAAACUUAAAAAGGCACUGUCAUGUUUUGUAUCUGAAACCAUAAGGUGGUCUUAAGCUGCCUGCAGUGCUGUAAAUUUGAGUUUCUUUUGUUGCUGUUGUUAUUCAUUGGGAAAGAAUGCGGCCCGGUUUCCAGUGACAGAGGGUGUGAAAUGGUAUAAAGUAGAAGUAAAAGGUGGAUUAUUUUGAAGAGACAAAAAAAACAAACCAAAACAAAACCAUAGUUCCCUGUUCAACAGGGACCAAAUAACCAUGGAGCCAGUUUCCUAUGUAAGUAACUGCGAUUCUGUCAUGUGACAGUUACAUGGAGUCACAUACUGAACAAAGAAUUUUCUUAAAAAAAAAAAAAAAAAAAAAAGAAAAAGAACUGUAGUCUAUGAAGCUGCUUUUAAAUGCUCAAUGCUCCCUGCUCCCCCCAUCUCCUUGGCUUCUUGUUUCAGCCUAAGUAGUAGAGCACACAAGUUAUUCAAGUUUAGAAACUAGUUAGUGAAAUUGAAUUCAUAAAUGAGUGCUAGUGAUUUUAGACCAUAAAAUGGAUCCUAAUUUAUUUUUACAAGCAGCAUGACUGAGGUUAAGCUUGAAGGUUGCUGUAGCCAGACAGGUUUUUUUGUAAAGCUGGUGAGUGAGGAGCAUCGACACCACAUAGGAUACACGUUAGAUACCUAUGCUUAUGUAGCAUGUACUUACAUAGUGUAGAGUUUUGAACUCAGAAUUUUUUUGUGAAAUACACAGGUCUGGGUCAGAUCUGUAUUUCGAAAUAAAGCCUCUAAAAAAACACUGCUGAAAGAAAGCAAAUAGAUUUUUAUACAUUUUGUAAUCUGAUGUUAACAGUCACAGUGAGGUAAACAUUUAUAAAUCACUUGUAACUGGCAGGCUGUUAACUUCUGGUAAAUGGUUUGCUCAGACAAUGGAGUAGAGUCUUUCUUGACAUCUAAAAGUGUUUAUUCACUCAGAUGACAUUAAUAGGUUGCUGAAACUAAAAUUCAGGGUCGCAACUAAUAUUACAUCUACUUAGAAAUCCCGUUCUGCAGCCAGGUGCAACAGUUUAAAAUCUGUGAGUGAGAGCAGUAAAACAGCUGACAUCCCCAAACUUCCUGCACAAUGGGAACACUGUGGGUUGGUUUUGUUUUUUUUUUUUUGGUCUGUUUGUUUGUUUUUUAAAUCUGGAAUAACUAAAAUGUUGUAAUUAGUUUUUAGUUGAAAUAUUACACGAUCAAAAGAAAACAUUAACUGGUAGCUUUUUGAACUUUUCUUUAUAAUAAAGUCAAAUUAAAAUUUACUUUUUCAGUAAAUGUUUUCAAGGGUUUGGUUCUGCAUCUCAAAAUGAUUCAAUCAUGUUAAGUGAACGUGUUUGAGGAAAUGCCCCUUUUUUGCUCUAAGUAAAGUGGUUAUUGUAGGUGAGGCAUAAUAACUUACUGUACUGAGAUCCUAAUACAGGCAAGCUAGUUGGUAGGUUUCUCGUGUUCUUCGUGCUAUUGGGGUGAAGGUAAACAGAUAAGAAUAUAAAAUUACUGUAGUCUUCUAGUACAUAUUUUCCUACUAAAAGAAACAAGCUUCUUUCUGCCUCUACCCCCAUUUGCCUUAAGGAAGAUACAGUACAACGUUGGAUGAUUUGGAUUUUGCUGGUAUCACUUAUACUUGACACCUGACUCUGAAUAAGAUAUCCCAAGAGAAGCUCAGCUACCAAACAAAAUAAAAUGCUCAAGUCUCAUAUUGCAAAUUCUUGAAUGAUGUUGGUUCUGUUUCAACCUGGAAAAUUGUAGCACAGUUCCAAACCAGAGCACUUCCUUCUGGAGCUCUGCCUGCCAUCAUGCAGCAGAGCAGAGACCCCCACGGUUCUGUCAUGGGGCAUUUUGUUCUUGCAGCUCCAGCUUUACCCAUGAGUGGAGGCCAUGAAUGAUACUGUUCCUUGGAAAUGUCUUCUUUCUCGGUCAGCAUACUGCAAUUGUUUUGUUAAAAU
ensembl:lncRNA